UACGGAGGAGGCAAGCGUUAUCCGGAAUUAUUGGGCGUAAAGCGUCCGUAGGUGGGUGAGGAAGUCUGCUGUUAAAGAGUGAGGCUUAACCUCAUAAGGGCAGUGGAAACUCUUCGUCUAGAGUGCGACAGGGGCAAGGGGAAUUCCUAGUGUAGCGGUGAAAUGCGUAGAGAUUAGGAAGAACACCGGUGGCGAAAGCGCCUUGCUGGGUCUGCACUGACACUGAGGGACGAAAGCGAGGGGAGCGAAAGGG
rnacentral:rRNA from 1 species